AUACGGAUGGUGCGAGCGUUGUUCGGAAUUACUGGGCGUAAAGGGCGCGUAGGCGGCGAUGUAAGUCAAAUGUGAAAGUCCUCGGCUUAACCGGGGAAGUGCAUCUGAAACUGCAUUGCUUGAGUAUGGGAGAGGAAAGUGGAAUUCCCGGUGUAGAGGUGAAAUUCGUAGAGAUCGGGAGGAAUACCGGUGGCGAAGGCGACUUUCUGGACCAAUACUGACGCUGAGGCGCGAAAGCGUGGGGAGCAAACAGGAUUAGAUACCAUAGUAGUCC
rnacentral:rRNA from 1 species